rnacentral:rRNA from 1 species
GCAGUAGCCACGGUAAUACAGAGGGUGCGAGCGUUAAUCGGAUUUACUGGGCGUAAAGCGUGCGUAGGCGGCUUUUUAAGUCGGAUGUGAAAUCCCUGAGCUUAACUUAAGAAUUGCAUUCGAUACUGGGAAGCUAGAGUAUGGGAGAGGAUGGUAGAAUUCCAGGUGUAGCGGUGAAAUGCGUAGAGAUCUGGAGGAAUACCGAUGGCGAAGGCAGCCAUCUGGCCUAAUACUGACGCUGAGGUACGAAAGCAUGGGGAGCAAACAGGAUUAGAUACCCCGUAGUCCCUGUCUCUUAUACA